ACCGCAUAGAGGUAAACGGGUGGCGUCAAGCUGCAAGCCCAGAGGAUUCAGUCGGUCAGGAUGUUGGUAUGCGCCUGGCGCAUCUAUCAGUCGGUAUUAGAUCGGGUAGUCCACCGGGAAACGGUGGGCCCAACCGCAAGGUUGGGAUUUGCGUACCGGGGGGUUGCCGGAGCAUGCUGCCUAUCUGUUGGACUGUCUGGCCGAUGCACUUCCUCUGUUCAGGUGAACACCACGACCGGUGGUACUGCCAGUCUGUUGUGGCCAAGUUGUAUCUAGUCGGCAUUUAUUGUCACCUGGAUGCAAUCACAGGCAAAGUCAGUGUACGGCGUUCAGGCGUUCGCGUUUGUUCGUGUUAUCGGGCACUGCUUGUCAACGGGUCUGUUCGUCGAUUGUUGUAGUCGUCGGCGGAUGACUUGGUGGGCCAUGAUGGUAAGAAUAACUGUGCAGGGCACCGGAGUUCGCGGUCUCUAAUCCGGCUCGCAUACACACUACAAGUGGUGCGGAGCGUUAUUACGGCCUGCCGUGGUUGGGUCCGAUUGCCGUGUCGCCUGCGCAAAGUAGGCCCGGUUUUGGCCUGGCCCUGGUUGGAGUCGUGGAUGGCGUUUCCAGUGUGAGUCGGUGUGGACCAAACAGUCAGUGGUGUAGU
rnacentral:rRNA from 1 species